rnacentral:rRNA from 1 species
GACGAACGCUGGCGGCGUGCUUAACACAUGCAAGUCGAACGGAAAGGCCCUGCUUUUGUGGGGUGCUCGAGUGGCGAACGGGUGAGUAACACGUGAGUAACCUGCCCUUGACUUUGGGAUAACUUCAGGAAACUGGGGCUAAUACCGGAUAGGAGCUCCUGCUGCAUGGUGGGGGUUGGAAAGUUUCGGCGGUUGGGGAUGGACUCGCGGCUUAUCAGCUUGUUGGUGGGGUAGUGGCUUACCAAGGCUUUGACGGGUAGCCGGCCUGAGAGGGUGACCGGCGACAUUGGGACUGAGAUAGGGACCAGACUCGUACGGGAGGCAGCAGUGGGGAAUAUUGCACAAUGGGCGGAAGCCUGAUGCAGCAACGCCGCGUGCGGGAUGACGGCCUUCGGGUUGUAAACCGCUUUCGCCUGUGACGAAGCGUGAGUGACGGUAAUGGGUAAAGAAGCACCGGCUAACUACGUG